AUUGAACGCUGGCGGCAGGCCUAACACAUGCAAGUCGAACGAGUGGCGCACGGGUGUGUAAUGUCUGGGAACCUGCCUGAUGGAGGGGGUUAACUACUGGAACCGGUACCUAAUACCGCUUACCUUCAUAUGUGCCCAGAUGGGAUUAGCUUGUUGGUGGGGUAACGCCUCACCAAGGCGACGAUCCGUAGCUGGUCUGAGAGGAGGACCAGCCACACUGGAACUGAGACACGGUCCAGACUCCUACGGGAGGCAGCAGUGGGGAAUAUUGCACAAUGGGCGCAAGCCUGAUGCAGCCAUGCCGCGUGUGUGAAGAAGGCCUUCGGGUUGUAAAGUACUUUCAGCGGGGAGGCGUUACCCGCAGAAGAAGCACCGGCUAACUUCGUGCCAGCAGCCGCGGUAAUAC
rnacentral:rRNA from 1 species